GACGAACGCUGGCGGUGUGCUUAACACAUGCAAGUCGAACGGUAAGGCCCUUUCGGGGGUACACGAGUGGCGAACGGGUGAGUAACACGUGAGUAACCUGCCCUCAUCUCUGGGAUAACAGUCGGAAACGGUUGCUAAUACUGGAUAUGAGCCUGCAAGGCAUCUUGUGGGUUGGAAAGAUUUUUUGGUUGGGGAUGGACUCGCGGCCUAUCAGCUUGUUGGUGAGGUAGUGGCUCACCAAGGCUUUGACGGGUAGCCGGCCUGAGAGGGCGACCGGCCACAUUGGGACUGAGAUACGGCCCAAACUCCUACGGGAGGCAGCAGUGGGGAAUAUUGCACAAUGGACGGUAGUCUGAUGCAGCAACGCCGCGUGCGGGAUGACGGCCUUCGGGUUGUAAACCGCUUUCAAUUGUGACGAAGCUUUUUGUGACGGUAGCAGUAGAAGAAGCACCGGCUAACUACGUG
rnacentral:rRNA from 1 species